rnacentral:rRNA from 1 species
GGUUAAGCGACUAAGCGUACACGGUGGAUGCCCUGGCAGUCAGAGGCGAUGAAGGACGUGCUAAUCUGCGAUAAGCGUCGGUAAGGUGAUAUGAACCGUUAUAACCGGCGAUUUCCGAAUGGGGAAACCCAGUGUGUUUCGACACACUAUCAUUAACUGAAUCCAUAGGUUAAUGAGGCGAACCGGGGGAACUGAAACAUCUAAGUACCCCGAGGAAAAGAAAUCAACCGAGAUUCCCCCAGUAGCGGCGAGCGAACGGGGAGGAGCCCAGAGCCUGAAUCAGUGUGUGUGUUAGUGGAAGCGUCUGGAAAGGCGCGCGAUACAGGGUGACAGCCCCGUACACAAAAAUGCACAUAUUGUGAGCUCGAUGAGUAGGGCGGGACACGUGGUAUCCUGUCUGAAUAUGGGGGGACCAUCCUCCAAGGCUAAAUACUCCUGACUGACCGAUAGUGAACCAGUACCGUGAGGGAAAGGCGAAAAGAACCCCGGCGAGGGGAGUGAAAAAGAACCUGAAACCGUGUACGUACAAGCAGUGGGAGCACGCUUAGGCGUGUGACUGCGUACCUUUUGUAUAAUGGGUCAGCGACUUAUAUUCUGUAGCAAGGUUAACCGAAUAGGGGAGCCGAAGGGAAACCGAGUCUUAACUGGGCGUUAAGUUGCAGGGUAUAGACCCGAAACCCGGUGAUCUAGCCAUGGGCAGGUUGAAGGUUGGGUAACACUAACUGGAGGACCGAACCGACUAAUGUUGAAAAAUUAGCGGAUGACUUGUGGCUGGGGGUGAAAGGCCAAUCAAACCGGGAGAUAGCUGGUUCUCCCCGAAAGCUAUUUAGGUAGCGCCUCGUGAAUUCAUCUCCGGGGGUAGAGCACUGUUUCGGCAAGGGGGUCAUCCCGACUUACCAACCCGAUGCAAACUGCGAAUACCGGAGAAUGUUAUCACGGGAGACACACGGCGGGUGCUAACGUCCGUCGUGAAGAGGGAAACAACCCAGACCGCCAGCUAAGGUCCCAAAGUCAUGGUUAAGUGGGAAACGAUGUGGGAAGGCCCAGACAGCCAGGAUGUUGGCUUAGAAGCAGCCAUCAUUUAAAGAAAGCGUAAUAGCUCACUGGUCGAGUCGGCCUGCGCGGAAGAUGUAACGGGGCUAAACCAUGCACCGAAGCUGCGGCAGCGACACUAUGUGUUGUUGGGUAGGGGAGCGUUCUGUAAGCCUGCGAAGGUGUGCUGUGAGGCAUGCUGGAGGUAUCAGAAGUGCGAAUGCUGACAUAAGUAACGAUAAAGCGGGUGAAAAGCCCGCUCGCCGGAAGACCAAGGGUUCCUGUCCAACGUUAAUCGGGGCAGGGUGAGUCGACCCCUAAGGCGAGGCCGAAAGGCGUAGUCGAUGGGAAACAGGUUAAUAUUCCUGUACUUGGUGUUACUGCGAAGGGGGGACGGAGAAGGCUAUGUUGGCCGGGCGACGGUUGUCCCGGUUUAAGCGUGUAGGCUGGUUUUCCAGGCAAAUCCGGAAAAUCAAGGCUGAGGCGUGAUGACGAGGCACUACGGUGCUGAAGCAACAAAUGCCCUGCUUCCAGGAAAAGCCUCUAAGCAUCAGGUAACAUCAAAUCGUACCCCAAACCGACACAGGUGGUCAGGUAGAGAAUACCAAGGCGCUUGAGAGAACUCGGGUGAAGGAACUAGGCAAAAUGGUGCCGUAACUUCGGGAGAAGGCACGCUGAUACGUAGGUGAAGUCCCUCGCGGAUGGAGCUGAAAUCAGUCGAAGAUACCAGCUGGCUGCAACUGUUUAUUAAAAACACAGCACUGUGCAAACACGAAAGUGGACGUAUACGGUGUGACGCCUGCCCGGUGCCGGAAGGUUAAUUGAUGGGGUCAGCGCAAGCGAAGCUCUUGAUCGAAGCCCCGGUAAACGGCGGCCGUAACUAUAACGGUCCUAAGGUAGCGAAAUUCCUUGUCGGGUAAGUUCCGACCUGCACGAAUGGCGUAAUGAUGGCCAGGCUGUCUCCACCCGAGACUCAGUGAAAUUGAACUCGCUGUGAAGAUGCAGUGUACCCGCGGCAAGACGGAAAGACCCCGUGAACCUUUACUAUAGCUUGACACUGAACAUUGAGCCUUGAUGUGUAGGAUAGGUGGGAGGCUUGGAAGUGUGGACGCCAGUCUGCAUGGAGCCGACCUUGAAAUACCACCCUUUAAUGUUUGAUGUUCUAACGUUGACCCGUGAUCCGGGUUGCGGACAGUGUCUGGUGGGUAGUUUGACUGGGGCGGUCUCCUCCUAAAGAGUAACGGAGGAGCACGAAGGUUGGCUAAUCCUGGUCGGACAUCAGGAGGUUAGUGCAAUGGCAUAAGCCAGCUUGACUGCGAGCGUGACGGCGCGAGCAGGUGCGAAAGCAGGUCAUAGUGAUCCGGUGGUUCUGAAUGGAAGGGCCAUCGCUCAACGGAUAAAAGGUACUCCGGGGAUAACAGGCUGAUACCGCCCAAGAGUUCAUAUCGACGGCGGUGUUUGGCACCUCGAUGUCGGCUCAUCACAUCCUGGGGCUGAAGUAGGUCCCAAGGGUAUGGCUGUUCGCCAUUUAAAGUGGUACGCGAGCUGGGUUUAGAACGUCGUGAGACAGUUCGGUCCCUAUCUGCCGUGGGCGCUGGAGAACUGAGGGGGGCUGCUCCUAGUACGAGAGGACCGGAGUGGACGCAUCACUGGUGUUCGGGUUGUCAUGCCAAUGGCACUGCCCGGUAGCUAAAUGCGGAAGAGAUAAGUGCUGAAAGCAUCUAAGCACGAAACUUGCCCCGAGAUGAGUUCUCCCUGACUCCUUGAGAGUCCUGAAGGAACGUUGAAGACGACGACGUUGAUAGGCCGGGUGUGUAAGCGCAGCGAUGCGUUGAGCUAACCGGUACUAAUGAACCGUGAGGCUUAACCUU